rnacentral:lncRNA from 1 species
CAGACAGGUGAAAGUCACUGUGAGGUGACGUUUUGUGGAAGGGCCUUGGCUGCUGCUGACUAAGCCCAGGGUAAAUGCCCACUUGCCUCCUUGGGCUGGCUGGCUCCUGACCGUGACCGCACCAGCUUCGAGGUUCCUGGCACCUUCUGACACUGGCCCCGGGCUCCCCCCACGUCUGCCCGUUGCUGCCCACCCUGGACGGAGGCAUCUGGUCAGCUUCAAGCGCCGCCUCCUGCCCCCCCAGUCUGGCCGCCAUCUCCAUAAACUGGAACAGAUUUGGUCAUAAUGAUCUCUCCUCCAAGGGCUGCCGUGCAGACGAUGUGAUGGGGCCCACACGAGGUUCUCGGAGGAGGGUGUGCAUCUGUCUUCUGCUUGGUUCUCGGUGAAUGCUCCCUGUCCCCACGAAGGGGCCCGGGGUGGCAGGGCAGCUCAGGAGGCAUCGUGAUGCUCCCUGGUGGCCUCUCAGUAACCUCUGUGCCACUUGGGCUGCUGUGGCUCUUGUCCCGCUCGGCCACUAUGAACAAAGCUGCUAUGACAUCCAUGUGUGGGCAUUUGGGCAGACAUCCCUUCUCAACUCCUUUGGGUGAAUCU